UGGGGAAUAUUGCACAAUGGGCGCAAGCCUGAUGCAGCCAUGCCGCGUGUAUGAAGAAGGCCUUCGGGUUGUAAAGUACUUUCAGCGAGGAGGAAGGCGUUGUGGUUAAUAACCGCAACGAUUGACGUUACUCGCAGAAGAAGCACCGGCUAACUCCGUGCCAGCAGCCGCGGUCAUACGGAGGGUGCAAGCGUUAAUCGGAAUUACUGGGCGUAAAGCGCACGCAGGCGGUCUGUCAAGUCGGAUGUGAAAUCCCCGGGCUCAACCUGGGAACUGCAUCCGAAACUGGCAGGCUAGAGUCUUGUAGAGGGGGGUAGAAUUCCAGGUGUAGCGGUGAAAUGCGUAGAGAUCUGGAGGAAUACCGGUGGCGAAGGCGGCCCCCUGGACAAAGACUGACGCUCAGGUGCGAAAGCGUGGGGAGCAAACA
rnacentral:rRNA from 1 species